rnacentral:rRNA from 1 species
CUGCUGCCUCCCGUAGGAGUUUGGUCCGUGUCUCAGUACCAAUGUGGGGGACCUUCCUCUCAGAACCCCUAUCCAUCGUCGGUUUGGUGGGCCGUUACCCCGCCAACUGCCUAAUGGAACGCAUGCCUAUCUAUCAGCGAUGAAUCUUUAGCAAAUAUCCCCAUGCGGGGCCCCUGCUUCAUGCGGUAUUAGUCCGACUUUCGCCGGGUUAUCCCCCUCUGAUAGGUAAGUUGCAUACGCGUUACUCACCGUGCGCCGGUCGCCGG